rnacentral:rRNA from 1 species
UACGUAUGGUGCAAGCGUUAUCCGGAUUUACUGGGUGUAAAGGGAGCGCAGGCGGCACGGCAAGCCUGAUGUGAAAGCCCGCGGCCCAACCGCGGGACUGCAUUGGGAACUACCGGGCUGGAGUGCCGGAGAGGUAGGCGGAAUUCCUAGUGUAGCGGUGAAAUGCGUAGAUAUUAGGAGGAACACCGGCGGCGAAGGCGGCCUGCUGGACCGCGACUGACGUUGAGGCUCGAAAGCGUGGGGAGCGAACAGG